rnacentral:rRNA from 1 species
UAGGGAAUUUUGCGCAAUGGACGAAAGUCUGACGCAGCAACACCGUGUGAGGGAUGAAGCAUUUCGGUGUGUAAACCUCUGUCGAUGAUGAAUAAAGCAUGUGGGAGUGGAAAGCCCAUGUGUUGAAGGUAAUCAUGAAGGAAGCACCGGCUAACUCUGUGCCAGCAGCCGCGGUAAUACAGGGGGUGCAAGCGUUGUUCGGAAUCACUGGGCGUAAAGGGAGCGUAGGCGGAACUACAAGACAGAGGUU